rnacentral:lncRNA from 1 species
UUUUUUUAUUAUUUUUUUUUUUAAGAAAUAUAGAAAUACUUAAAAUGAAACUUCAUAACAUCUAUUUUCACUUACUAUAUAACAAAAACUUGGAGAAGGUGGGGAGGAAAGGAUGAAGUCACUCAACCUCUAAGCAUCAUCUAGUUGACCACCCACAAUCAGUCCAAUUUUAGCACUGUGAGAUCCCCAACAAUCAGUCACAAAUAGCACAUCCUAUUACUUUCCAGUCUGUUAAAGCUUGUUUGUGAAACUGAAAAAGUAACAUCCUCAAGCUGCCUUAGCUUAGAUACAAAGAGCUAAGACUAGAAACGUGCAUACUCCUAAUAUAAACGGAAUUAUUUGACGGUUACAUUAGCAUUCAGAUUCAUGACACUGGUCUGCUAGAUUUAAUGCAGCAAGACUAGUCAAGGAUUAAACAAUCUGUUACCAAGGGAAUAACCAACAUUUCCUGAAAGAUCCACUGAGAAUCCAUACAGUCAACAUAUGGAGGGACUAAAAAGAUAAAUGGAAAGAUUUGAAGCAUAAACUAUACACAGAAAAACUAAAUACUAAAAACACAAACGGAAAACAUUUUGGUGAUAGUAAAAUGCACAUAAAAGACCUGAACAUGUAUCUGCAAUAUUUGCUACAACGUUCUACUUUGUCCCAGAGCACCAACAAUAUCUGAGUUAAUAUAGUUAAACAUAACACCGCAAGAGUAGGAAUCUCUUUAGGAUAAUUAACAUAUUCAGAAAAUGACUAAUAUAAGCAUACCCUGAAAAUUCUGAAUGUACAAAAACAGUUCAAAUGUUGUUAUAAACAAAACCUUCAGUUUAAUAACUUCUUUCACUCUUUUUUUUCUCUCCUUUACACAGUCUAAUAUGAAAAUAUAGUCUAAAACCAGAAAAGCUGCACAGCCACUGAGAUAUUAUCAUCAUAUUCUCAGGACCAGAAAUCAAACAACAUUUCUGGUAGGUUACUUUAGAAGUUUCAUUUCUCUCCUGAAGUCCUGAGUUCUAAGAGUCUUAAGUAAUGAUUUGUCUGUUUUAAAUGAAUACAGGUAAGUGUUUAGAUUUUAGGCAUUAGGUAAAAAAAAAUCCUACUAGUCUUUGCCUCCACUAAGUUGGUGGAUGGCCAAAAUAAUUCUAAAUGUACUAAAAACCCUUAAAAUGACCUGACAACCACCAAGUGACAGUUCCCAAGUCAACCUUUGCCAAGAUCUAAUAAAAUGAACUGUGAUCUUUUGUAUCUCUUGUACCUUCCAAAUACUUCAUACAUGAAGGAUCUAAUGGGAGCUAAGUCAGCUUUAUUACUAUAUAUUGGAAAUCCAUAUUAAAAGAUUCCCUCCAAAGAAUUUUUACAGCCACUUCAUGCUACAGGAAACCUCUGAAGACUCUUCCUUAUUUCUCAAUUGUUCACUGGUAAAAAAAACUUCAGAAAUUUUAUUUAAAAGGAAGUUACAGUGCCCAUAUUAAAAACUGUUUACUUCUAAUGUUGGAGAGAAAAGAUUGUUACAGUCCAGGAGCCAGCAGAAUUAUCCGGCACUGGCUUAAGAGGAAGAAAUUAGUUCAGUUGUAAGAGAAAUAUAGGCAAGCUCAAUUGAUAUACCACAAUGGAUUUGACAUAUUGCGAGCAAAUAAACUCCUUAAGAAUAUUUUGUCUUGAUUGGUUUUGUCUUGAUGUAUUUAGUAUUACAGCUGCUCAUAAUACACUUAAUGACUCACAUCUAGAAGCUACAAAAGCACAUUAAAUAUCUACAGCAAUUUAAAGUUUUCUGGAAGAAAAGAAUAUUUCAUUCAUUGAUUUGUCAUUAAACAUAAGCAACAAACCUUUGAAGAUGACACACUGAGUUUUGGGGGAAGAGCUCCAGUCUUUUGGCUUCAUAAAACUGAGCGGUGUAGCUUGGAGUAGUAUAGAAAAGUGUAACAGAAAGGCUAUCAAAAAUAUGUUGGCGUCAAAGGAGGCCUGAGUUCAAAACUUUAGCAUGAAUUUGCUGUAGAAAAGCUGAAGCUGGAUCUGUUUCAGCUGAAAUUUCAGAUAAAUUUCCUAUCUCUGUCUUCACUGUGGCUGUUUGAAAAAAAUUAGGGAAAAUACUAUUUUCUUUCCAACUUAGAUGAACUUAUUUGCAUUGAUAGAAAACCCCGUAAAUUUUUGAGUAUGAAUUAAUCAUAUUUUUCUCCCUUCUCUUCAUGUUUCCUAAGGCAUUUCCCAGAUUUUGUGACUUAUAGCUGGUUUAGAAACUUUCCAUACACCCAUAAGCUACAAGGAUUCUUACUGUCCUUGCUUGUUUGCACUGAGGACCAUCCUGAGAAGACAUCUGCAUAUUUACUGGGAAACCUUAAUCCAGCUUGUUCUUGCUGGUUUGUUAGAAACUUCUGUUUCUAAGUAACUGGUGUUAGAUCAAACAAACAUUAUUUUGAAGUGACAGGAUUUUAUUUGUUUCAUCUGACUAAAAAAUGGUGAGCUCAAAAGGAUGAGUUUUUUAAGGCACAAGACUAAAAUGCUAUAAGUUUACUAAACCCAAGAUAUACUUGCGUCAAUACCAUUUUUUCCACAAAAACGUCAAAGAAACUUCACUAAAUGAGAUGAGAAGUAAAAUGGUGAAAUUGUCAUAAAAAUCUUCUUCUUACCAUAACAUUUUCAUAUCUUUAAGUGUCUAGAUAAAAAAAAAAAAGAACGGGGUUGCUAUGUUUAUGACUCCAUCAUCAUUCAGUCUCCUUGCUCUCAAGUAGCCAUCAAAGAAGAGGAAAAAUCUGUCAAUAGCUCGUGACCAAUGAAAAAAUCUGAAAGAAUCUUAUAUGUUUUAUUUGGCAGUUAUAAUUAUUCUAGGAUAACUGAUAACAUUUUAAAAUUGAAUACAAAACUCCUGUGGGAAAUUUAUACCAACGAGUAAUAAACUGGCUGGACAGCAUUUUACUUCACUUGGUCUUCAUCUCACUCCAGGAAUAUAUAUAUUGCACUGUCUCCUCCAAUAAUUGGUGCAAGACACUGUCCUCAGCUUUUUAGCUUUCAAGGGGUUAACUGAGUAGCUCGAGAAACCAAGCAAGCACUUUGAUGCUAUCAUUUACUACUGAAGGGGGCCAAGAGGACAACUGAUAGCAUAUCCUCUUGCAAAUCCCCCAAGCUGAUAUUUCUGAAAUCUAAAAUGGAAGUUAUUUCUGUGGAGCCGAUGGAUUUGACUUUAAUAUUUUCUUAGCAUCCAUUUUCACACAGGUACUAGGAAAUACAUCAGACUCACUUGUCAUCUGGAUGAGACCUGGGUCUUCCUUUGGUUGAGACAACUGAGAUUGAAAGUUCCUUUAUGAGACAAAAAAAAAAUCUUUUUCUUUCUUUUUUUAAAUUUGAGAAGCUAUUUUUUUUCACAUCAACACUUGGCUAGAAUAAUCUUUGACAAAUAAACUAUUCCAGGCCUUAAUAAGCUCUCAUACAGCAAGAAAAUGUAUGAGGAAAUUAAAUUCAAAUGCAAAACCAAGGCAGAACUGUCUUCUGCUUACUGGAGGAAAAUAUUACAAAAAAAAAAAAAACUGCAUCAAAUGAAAGUAAUGGUUUUAAGAGCUGUCAGCACAGCAAUGUUUAAAAUUUUUAUGCAAAAUACUAAAAUUUCACAUAUUUUUAUAUCUGUACUUAAAUAAGAGAAACAUGGAGCUACAGAGUACUUUCUCUUUGUCCCAUGGUUAGUUCUGGAUGGCUAUGCAGAGAAGUAAAACUCCUUGUAAUUUCAGUGCCAGGCCUAUAUGAAGCUAAUCCACUACUUCCUGAAGGAGGAGGAAAAGUUCCCAGUUCCAGCCCCUAGUUUGCUGGUUAGCCUGCCUGAGGGCUGGAAUGGUAAUUUUUAAUUG